rnacentral:rRNA from 1 species
UACGAAGGGGGCUAGCGUUGUUCGGAAUUACUGGGCGUAAAGGGCGCGUAGGCGGCUUGAUAAGUCGGGGGUGAAAGCCUGUGGCUCAACCACAGAAUUGCCUUCGAUACUGUCGAGCUUGAGACCGGAAGAGGUAAGUGGAACUGCGAGUGUAGAGGUGAAAUUCGUAGAUAUUCGCAAGAACACCAGUGGCGAAGGCGGCUCACUGGCUCGGUACUGACGCUGAGGUGCGAAAGCGUGGGGAGCAAACAGG